GCCGGGUUGGCGGAACGGCAUACGCGGUGGUCUCAAACACCACUGCCCGCAAGGGCUUGUGGGUUCGAAUCCCACACCCGGCACCA
rnacentral:tRNA from 1 species